UUGUGUAUGCCAUUUAAGCCAGGAUGUAGGCUACUAGGCUAUGAUAGUACUACCAUGUAGCUGGGGAUGCUUAAUGAGGAGAUGGAGAUCCCUCUCCAACACCAAUAAUGGCCAUGACAGCAGCGGCCAAAGACGCCACCACAACACAGUGGAGUACAAGAAUGACGCGCUUGAUUAAGAUUGUCUGGAAACAAUAAGAAUUCAAACUUGUUUUUCCGUUUUAAUUCAAUUUCAUUAUUACCACUAGAAAAUUAUUAGGGUCAAAAUAUUUUAAUAAUAAUAGUUAAAAAUAAAAAUAAAAAAAUGGAACAAACCUUUUUACUUUCGGAGCCUGGGGGAUUAACUUUCGGGUUGUCAGAACUUCCCAUCUCAUAAGUAUCUUGAGUGACUGCAAUAAGCAACAUAAAUAUAUCCUAGUGUUAUUUACUCAGCCACACCUUGUUUUAUUUAUUUUAACAGGAUAUAAAUAAAAUAAUAACAAAAACUUCAGUAAAUAAAUAUAUACGAGUAAGGCAUGAAUUGAUGCCUUAUUUGUUUUAUGAUUAUAAUGCACAGUAUCAUUCUGAUCUGAGCUCUAGAAAAUUUAAAUUUGUGUUUAUUUCAUGCAAGCUACUUAUACAUAUUUUCUGUGUCUUUUUCAUUUGGCUGAGAUAUUCUUUGUCUGACUUAACCUAAUCCAACCUAAACCCAACUAAUUAAUCAUCUUUUUGUCAGCUAAAAUGUCAAGUUUUGCUUACUUAUCCUCUUGUCACAGAGAGUGAUCAGCUCCAAUAAAAUCUCUACAAACAAGAUCCAGGCCACAUAUGCCCCUAAGAUAUAGACAGUGUAGUAAGGUGUGACAGCACCUCUGAGGCGCACACCAAAGAAAAUGGCGAUCACUGAAAUGCUUGUAAAAUCUGGCAGUGAUGAUCCCAAUACUUGAAAAGAUCAACCAAGCAGCAACCAUCAAACAGCCUUCAAUUAAAGGGCAAACAUUAAUUUAAAAAACUUUAAGAUAAAUUCUUGAUUAAUGUACUAGCUACUAUUACUAAACUGCUAAAUAUUUGCACAUUCUUGUGUUUUGACUUGAAAAAAAAUCUUUAAAAUUUAACUGUGGCUUUCUAAUUAAAUUUUAUAAUUUGUCUUAUGAACACAAGUUGUAUAGUUAAACUAAGGAUUUUCAUGAAAUGUAUACAUUGUCAUUAGCUUUACUACUUUAAAUGUCUUGUCACUUUUUGUCUUCAAUUAUAAAAUUCUAUAUAUCAUAUGCACAUCUUUCUCACAUAAACCAAAGUGUUUACCAUGGGCUUUAUACAUGGGAUUACCCUCCCCC